UUACGGUCACAUCACAUUGAAACACCAGUUCUCAUAUGAUCAUCAAAGUUAAGCAAUAUCGAGCAGUACAUAGAUAGGUGACCGCUUGGGAAUACCAGGUUCUGUAAG